rnacentral:rRNA from 1 species
UACGGAGGGUGCAAGCGUUGUCCGGAAUCACUGGGCGUAAAGGGCGCGUAGGCGGCUCAUGAAGGCUGUGGUGAAAGUCCGGGGCUCAACCUCGGAUCGGCCGUGGCGACUCGUGGGCUGGAGCACUGUAGAGGCUAAUGGAAUUCCGGGUGUAGCGGUGGAAUGCGUAGAGAUCCGGAAGAACACCGGUGGCGAAGGCGGUUAGCGUGGGCAGUUGGCUGACA